GAAACUCAAAUAAACUGACAUUUUCCUUUGGUUCUGAGGCUGUUCUGUUAAGAGGGGUUCCACUGUACUUUCAACUUCGAUUAUUUAUAUGGUGAAGUAUCUAAUGCUUGAGUUAUUUGAAAAUCCUUUCAUGCUGCAUGCUCAGUGAAUACUCAUGAUGUUGCACAAGAUUUCAAACAUUUUACUCUCAGCUGUGUAGUGUAUUAUAGUUGUUAGUGUUUGAAAUUAUUAUUUGUCCAAUGGCAUUGCAGUAUUUUUCAAAUUAUCGGGAAAUUUAUUUUGGUAAAUCAGCGUUUACUUCCAGUCGUUUACUAACCCGGUAAGUCACAUACUUUUAAGAGAAACAAUUGUGUCCCGCCAUGACAUUUUUAUCCCAAAUGACACAAGCCUCGAUAUCGGUAAAAUGACGUUGAAGUUGACGUCACUUAAUUAGAUAUUUGUUUUCAAUAAUUUGUUUUUAAAGCAACAGCCAUUUAGUGUUAAAAUCAAUAAUAUAAGACGAAGAUUUUUAAGUUUAAACGGUUCAACAUUUAGUUAUCGCAAUACAAUGUAGUAUUGAAAUAUCACAAAUAAUGAGUGAAUUAGCGAAUUGUUUCCCUUUGAAAUCUUCACGCCAUUAACGGUGUAUACAUGUGUGAAACUGGGUCAGAGAAAACAUGUAGUUAUUGCUCUGAAUAUACGCGGAUAUUUAAAGUACAUGGCGGACUUAUUGGUUGUUAUGGACAACCUCCAGCAGUAUGAGAUAUAAAGGUUCACUGCAGUUUUGACUGUGCUCGACAAGUACUGUACACAUACUAUGCUCAGCAAGUGGAGUUGCUGUGAGUUCUCAUGCAGGCUCUCAGAUUUUCUACCUAGUGUAUGAAAAGUACAGUACUGCUGUUGGAAGAGGAGCAUCAUGGCUGUUUCAUUACAUAUGGCCAAUCAUAUUGGACAAAAUAAGAAAAGUGUUCUAAUAAGUUCUGGAAUGUGGCUUGUUAUGAUGGGUCUACAUGAUUGACUUGGAGUACAACCUAAUGGAGGCCUGGCUUGCAGAAUUCAGUCCUGAACAUUUUUAGAAUGUCUUCUGCGAGACUUGGUAUAGCAUUCUUGAAGGAUUAUAACUUCAAUACAGAGACAGAGAUUAAUAUUUUAGGCAGGUGAUUGGCAUGAGGCAAACUCUCCAACCCUAUUACCAUUCCUGAGCUGGAUGCCAGUCGACAGUUGUACCUGUAUAAUGAAAUAGCGCCGCUUUGCAGCAACAACAAUGUAUGCUCAAAAUUAGCAGUGCCAAAGCCAUUAAAACUGAGAACUCAGUCAUGUAAAACAAAAUGAAUGGAAAAAAGUGUUUAACAUUUAAAGUAAUACAGAGAAAGAGCUCAGCUCAUUUGGUACUUUCUGAAAUUUUGAUUAACUUGAAAGUGUUUUUGAAUUUUUAAAGGUGUACUAGACCAAAAUUCCAUAUAUAUGAAUAUGAACAAAUGCUACAUUAUGGUGUCAGCAGUAGUAUGCAUUGGUUAAAUAUAGACACACUGUAUGUAUGUAAGGCUGAACACAGUAUAAAUGUGAAAUUCCUAAAAGACACUGGAAGAUUUUUCAACAAUCUACAGUUUAGUACUGCAUGACAUAAAAUUAUGAAUGGAGCUCUACAUACACAUGAUUUAUACAUUAAGCAAAGUUAAAUAUAUUUAUUGAUCAUCUUGAUGAUUUUCUACAUUUGAAGUGAUUACCUAAAUGUUAAAUAUUUUAGUGAAGAUAUAUUUUAUGCAACUAUAUCAGUUGAAAAAAGCUACCAUCCAGGAAGAAUAUUUUGAAAUGAUACUUUUACUAGAAAAUUUAUGUGAAAAAUGAAGGAAAUAGAUGUUAAAAUGAAUUCUUUAUUUUAUAAAAAAUGUUGUUGCCAUGGAAACAGAACUUGAGUAUUAAGUUUAUCUGCUUUCAUACCAGAGUUAUAUGACUUUUAAUUAUAAUAAUGUUAACAAUUUAAUGUUAUAUAAUCACCACUCAUCUGAUACUUUUGAUUUUCAAUUAACAGUCAUUGAGCAAUGCAUCUUAAGUACAUUUGAAGUUGAAUGAUACAUUACAAAUAUUAGAUAUUGAUGGAAUUGCUUUUAGAUAUUUUUGAGUUGAAUAUAAAUAAAAAAAUUCACAAAUUCUAGUUCUUCUAGAGAACUAAUAUACAUUUUAUAAAUUUACAUUUUUAGUACCAAAUGUAGACUAAAAUGUCUGUUAAAUUGACAUUUAAAGCAAUUCUUGUAUUUUGUUGCUAUGGAAACAUGAAUUGUGACAAUUUUUUAAUAUAAAAUAGCAUAUUUAUAGCAAGAAGGCAUUAUCAACUGUGCUAAUCAUGUUAAAUACUUUUGAUAUUGAUGGCAAAAUAUGAAAUUAAAAUAUAUGAUAAAA
rnacentral:lncRNA from 1 species